GGCAGUGAAUUAGCUCGGCUGAUCUGAUUUCCGAGGCGCCUGGGAGGGUUACUUCGACUGUUAAUCGACCAGGUCGUUGGUUCGAAUCCAAUCGCCGCCG
rnacentral:tRNA from 1 species